rnacentral:rRNA from 1 species
UAGAUACCCGUCUAUUCAUGACAUAAAAUACAGUUGAAUAUUACGAACAAUAGUUUAAAAUUCAAAGAUUUUGGCGGUGUCUUAUAAAACCAGGGGAACCUGUCUCGUAACUCGAUAGUCCACGUAUACUCAACCUUCUCUUGACACCAGCAUGUGUACUGCCGUUGUAAGCACACCUCUAAAAGAAAGUGUGCCACUAUGGACUCAUAUACAUCAGGUCAAGGUGCAGCUAAUAAGAAGGUGAUGAUGGGUUACAACCCCAAAAAAGACUAUCAACUAAGAAAUAAAAAAUCUUACGAAAGUGGACUUGGCUGUAAUUAAUUUAUAAUUUAAAAAAAUGAAUGCAAAUCUAAGACAUGUACACAUCGCCCGUCACUCUAUCCUAAAGGUUAGAUAAGUCGU